CCAAUAGCGUAUAUUAAAGUUGUUGCAGUUAAAAAGCUCGUAGUUGAAUUUCGGGAUCAAUAUGCUGGUCGUGCCAUUGGUACGUACUAGUAUUAUUGGUUUCUUCCUUCUGAUGAAUCAUGAUGUCAUUAAGUUGAUGUCAUGGGGAAUCAGGACUGUUACUUUGAAAAAAUUAGAGUGUUUAAAGCAGGCUCGCGCUUGAAUACAUUAGCAUGGAAUAAUGAAAUAGGACGUUUGAUUCUAUUUUGUUGGUUUCUAGGAUUGACGUAAUGAUUAAUAGGGAUAGUUGGGGGCAUUAGUAUUCAAUUGUCAGAGGUGAAAUUCUUGGAUUUAUUGAAGACUAACUACUGCGAAAGCAUUUGCCAAGGAUGUUUUCAUUAAUCAAGAACGAAAGUUAGGGGAUCGAAGACGAUCAGAUACCGUCGUAGUCUUAACCAUAAACUAUGCCGACUAGGGAUCGGAUGAUGUUAAUUUUUUAAUGACUCAUUCGGCGCCUUACG
rnacentral:rRNA from 1 species